rnacentral:rRNA from 1 species
AGAUUGAACGCUGGCGGCAGGCCUAACACAUGCAAGUCGAGCGGUAGAGAGGUGCUUGCAUCUCUUGAGAGCGGCGGACGGGUGAGUAAUGCCUAGGAAUCUGCCUAGUGGUGGGGGAUAACGUUCGGAAACGGACGCUAAUACCGCAUACGUCCUACGGGAGAAAGCGGGGGACCUUCGGGCCUCGCGCCAUUAGAUGAGCCUAGGUCGGAUUAGCUAGUUGGUGAGGUAAUGGCUCACCAAGGCGACGAUCCGUAACUGGUCUGAGAGGAUGAUCAGUCACACUGGAACUGAGACACGGUCCAGACUCCUACGGGAGGCAGCAGUGGGGAAUAUUGGACAAUGGGCGAAAGCCUGAUCCAGCCAUGCCGCGUGUGUGAAGAAGGUCUUCGGAUUGAAAGCACUUUAAGUGGAGGAAGGUUGUAACCUAAUACGUUGCAGCUUUGACGUUACGACAGAAUAAGCACCGGCUAACUCGUGCCAGCAGCCG